GACGGACAUUUGGUAGACUAGAAUGGCAGAGAUCACACGACGUGUCAUUUACUAUACCAUACCUUUGGGCCUAGUCUUGUACUUAAUGUAGUUAAGGCUAGGCCCACAGGUAUGGUGAAUUGUCUCUAGAGAAAAUAUAUUUGUACACGUGGUGUAAUUAUAAAUAUACUACGUAAGCCAUUCGUUUCUAUUAAACAGCAAAGAUUGUAUUAUCGGUAGUUGGUAAGAAUACACCUCCCCGAUUUCACCGAAAUUCGAAAUCCCACGUUGUACUCGGAUCAAUAAACGUCAAUCGAAUUUGAAAGUUUGUUUAAUUUUAAACACAAGUUCCUUGUUGAUUUGUUACGUCACAACCUUUAUCAAUCCUCUUAUCGUGUUUCUUUUCGUAAGCGUAAUAUUAUAUACAACCAAGUUACCAGACGUCGAUAUAAUAAAUCAAAUAUACAUGUUGAAUUAAUAUUUAUAAAAUAUUGGGGAUGGUCGAGCAGUAAAGACACUAACAUGCCAUUCUGAAUGAAUAUCUUACGUUAAGUAUCGUUUCUUACCAUUAAUUGUAUACAUUUAUCGAAUUUAACGUGCAUAAAAAUAAGAUUUUAAGAAAUUUAAAGAAACUAGUCCUCAAAAUAAGCGUUGAAAACACCAGUUUACUAUUCUGUAUUAUCAUUAAAAAGUAAAGUAAAUUUUUAUACAUGUGUAGAGGCAUGUAUAUACUUUUUAACCCUGAAAUCUAUAUAAAUAUUUCCUUAAAUAAAAUAUAAUUAUUUUCAGCUUUACAUAAAUUUCAAACAAAAAAGAAACAAUUAUAAAAUCUAUCGAUAAAAUAUUAUUAAUAGAUAAACUUUAUCAUAAAUAUGAUAAGAUUUUUCGAUAAUUCUUAUAAAUAAGAUAUACAGAGUGAUACAAAUGUCAGAAUACACAAGCAAAGACACCAGUUUAUUGUGCAAUUACAUACAUAUAAAUCACUAAUUAUAAUCUGUAUAAAUGUAAUUUAAUUAAAUUUACAAAAAAGAGCAUUUCUUCCAACCCUGGCAAAACCUGAAAAUGAGUAAGUUAAUUUACCACGAGUGUUUGUGUGACUAGUUUUGAAUCACCCCGUAUAGUUAUUCUCCAACUUUCUCCAUUAGCCUGCGAACGACCAGCAAUACAUCGUUCAGCAUAAGGUGAAAGAUACAAAAGCCAAUUUCAAAGCAAUGAUUGUCUUCGUUGUGAUUUUCUUGUCAAUUCUUUGUUCAGAAAUAUUUGAAAUCUCCGAAUCAAACGAGAGAAAGAAUGUAAGACGAUUGUCCCUCCUCAGAUUUACCUGGCCGACUCGAUAAAAUACAAAUUAACUGAUCAUCAGCUCGUCGCUUCGAAACAUUGUUCGAGAAGGUCCAAAGCAUCAAUGUUUUUAAAACGAAAAUACUC
rnacentral:misc_RNA from 1 species